rnacentral:rRNA from 1 species
GAUGAACGCUAGCGGCAGGCUUAACACAUGCAAGUCGAGGGGCAGCACGGGUAGCAAUACCUGGUGGCGACCGGCGCAAGGGUGCGUAACGCGUGAGCAACAUGCCCUAUACAGGGGGAUAAUCCAGGGAAACUUGGUCUAAUAUCCCAUAGUAUUUAGAGGAGGCAUCUUCUAUAAAUUAAAGCUUCGGUGGUAUAGGAUUGGCUCGCGUGACAUUAGCUAGAUGGUGAGGUAACGGCUCACCAUGGCAAUGAUGUCUAGGGGUUCUGAGAGGAAGGCCCCCCACACUGGGACUGAGACACGGCCCAGACUCCUACGGGAGGCAGCAGUAGGGAAUAUUGCGCAAUGGGGGAAACCCUGACGCAGCGACGCCGCGUGAGUGAUGAAGGCCUUUCUGGUUGUAAAGCUCUGUAAGGAGGGAAGAAUGUCAGGCAGUAACGUGUCUGAGUGACGGUACCUCCGGAGUAAGGACCGGCUAAAUACGUGCCAGC